UGAGAUCUUAGAGCCCAGUGUAUAUGGC
rnacentral:piRNA from 1 species